rnacentral:rRNA from 1 species
UUGAACAUGAGAGUUUGAUCCUGGCUCAGAACGAACGCUGGCGGCAGGCCUAACACAUGCAAG